rnacentral:rRNA from 1 species
AAUGAACGUUGGCGGCGUGGAUUAGGCAUGCAAGUCGUGCGCGAAGGUUUCCUUCGGGAGACUGGAAAGCGGCGAAAGGGAGAGUAACGCGUGGAUACUUACCCCCAGGUCCGGGAUAGCGGCGGGAAACUGCCGGUAAUACCGGAUGAUAUCUCCGGAUCAAAGGUGUGAUUCCGCCUGGGGAUGGGUCCGCGUCCUAUUAGCUUGUUGGUGGGGUAAUGGCCUACCAAGGCUUUGAUGGGUAGCGGGUGUGAGAGCAUGGCCCGCCUCACUGGGACUGAGACACUGCCCAGACACCUACGGGUGGCUGCAGUCGAGAAUCUUCGGCAAUGGGCGAAAGCCUGACCGAGCGACGCCGCGUGCGGGAUGAAGGCCCUCGGGUUGUAAACCGCUGUCAGUUGUUAGGAAAUCCAUGAGGGUUCUCUCUCAUGGUUGACCGAUCUUCAGAGGAAGGACGGGCUAAGUUCGUG